rnacentral:rRNA from 1 species
UCUUCGGAGUUGACGAUAAUGGAAUGAGCGGCGGACGGGUGAGUAACACGUAGGCAACCUGCCUGUAAGACUGGGAUAACUCGUGGAAACGCGAGCUAAUACCGGAUAACACUUUUCAUCUCCUGAUGAUAAGUUGAAAGGCGGCUUUUGCUGUCACUUACAGAUGGGCCUGCGGCGCAUUAGCUAGUUGGUAAGGUAACGGCUUACCAAGGCGACGAUGCGUAGCCGACCUGAGAGGGUGAUCGGCCACACUGGGACUGAGACACGGCCCAGACUCCUACGGGAGGCAGCAGUAGGGAAUCUUCCGCAAUGGACGAAAGUCUGACGGAGCAACGCCGCGUGAGUGAUGAAGGUUUUCGGAUCGUAAAACUCUGUUGUUAGGGAAGAACAAGUACUAUAGUAACUGAUGGUACCUUGACGGUACCUAACCAGAAAGCCACGGCUAACUACGUGCCAGCAGCCGCGGUAAUACGUAGGUGGCAAGCGUUGUCCGGAAUUAUUGGGCGUAAAGCGCUCGCAGGCGGUUCUUUAAGUCUGAUGUGAAAUCUUACGGCU